ACUGUAUGACCUGCUGGAAGAUCUCAUGAGGAAUUCCGGUCGUUAAAGGGUGCCUCCCCAACUCUGGACCAGAAAAGGCAAUUUGAUAAAUGGAGCACUGGAAGAAAUAUCUGUGAACCAGAAUGGCAACUUCCAGGUGAAAUGCAAGCUGUAUUUGCAAAUGAGGUGUGGAUGUUUAUUACACCCUCUCUGCUCCACCAGUGCUCAGUCUUAUGCAAUCUAAAGGCCCUCAGGAGGGAGCAUCUGUUUUUCACUUCAGUGCAAGGCAAGCUGGGAAGCCUGUGUGCAGAAUUUUCAAGUGGAGGAAGUCAGAAUGGGAGAAAACAACUCCAGAUUCUCUUCACACUUUGGUGUGACUGUUUUGAAACAUUCUCUCAACAAGGGGCAAGUCCUCAUCUCUCUACAGAUGUGCAGAGGCAUCCAUCGUCACACCCCACCCACAGCUACCUUUGUCAA